rnacentral:misc_RNA from 1 species
AACGCACCUUGCGCUCCCUGGUAUUCCGGGGAGCAUGCCUGUUUGAGUGUCAUUAAAUUCUCAACCUCACCAUCUUUUACUAGUUGGUGUAGGCUUGGAUGUGGGGGUUGCAGGCUUCUCAGAAGUCAGCUCUCCUUAAAUGUAUUAGCGGAACCUUUGUGGACCGUCAUUGGUGUGAUAAUUAUCUACGCCGUUGUCGUGAAGCAGCUUAUAUGGGGUUCAGCUUAUAACCGUCUAUUAACUUGGACAACUUUUGACAUUUUGACCUCAAAUCAGGUAGGACUACCCGCUGAACUUAA